GAUGAACGCUGGCGGCGUGCCUAAUACAUGCAAGUCGAGCGAAUGGAUUAAGAGCUUGCUCUUAUGAAGUUAGCGGCGGACGGGUGAGUAACACGUGGGUAACCUGCCCAUAAGACUGGGAUAACUCCGGGAAACCGGGGCUAAUACCGGAUAACAUUUUGAACCGCAUGGUUCGAAAUUGAAAGGCGGCUUCGGCUGUCACUUAUGGAUGGACCCGCGUCGCAUUAGCUAGUUGGUGAGGUAACGGCUCACCAAGGCAACGCUGCGUAGCCGACCUGAGAGGGUGAUCGGCCACAAUGGGACUGAGACACGGCCCAGACUCCUACGGGAGGCAGCAGUAGGGAAUCUUCCGCAAUGGACGAAAGUCUGACGGAGCAACGCCGCGUGAGGGAUGAAGGCUUUCGGGUCGUAAAACUCUGUUGUUAGGGAAGAACAAGUGCUAGUUGAAUAAGCUGGCACCUUGACGGUACCUAACCAGAAAGCCACGGCUAACUACGUGCCAGCCGCCGCUGUAA
rnacentral:rRNA from 1 species